rnacentral:misc_RNA from 1 species
CGCACAUUGCGCCCCUUGGUAUUCCGGGGGGCAUGCCCGUUCGAGCGUCAUUUCACCACUCAAGCCUCGCUUGGUGUUGGGCCACGGGGGCGACCCGGGCCUCGAAGUCGCCGGCCGGACAGUCCGAAUCCCAGCGUCGUGACAUCGUUCUCGCUGGCGAGAUGGGCGAUCCGCGCCGUGAAAUUCAUCCACAGGUUGACCUCGGAUCGGGUAGGGAUACCCGCUGAACUUAA